UAAUUAAAGGUAAAAAUUUAUUUUUCCCGAAGUCAAGAGAUUUAAAUUUUUGUUGUUUUAUUGUUUUAUAAAUAUUCUUAACAUAAAUUUGGAAAUGAAACGUUUACGUUCUUGAAUAUAUCUGGUUUUUUCAGAAAUUAAUUUAAUUAAUUUUAUAAUUUUUAAUUUUUUUUAUCAAAAUUUUAGUUUUAUAAUAAAGUAAUUUCGGGGAUGAGCUCGAAUUUAAAGUUCUAAAAUUUUAUUUGCUGAUACACGGUAUUUCUAGUAACAGAAGUUUACAUGCAUGAAAGAGUGUUAUAACUAUUCUUGUAUAAUUUGUUAUUUUAAUCUGAUUUAGAUUUUUUAUGAAAAUUUUUUAUAUAAUUAUUAUUUUUUAGGAACAAUGAUAAAAUUAGUAUAGAUAAAGGUUUAUGUUUUUUUAUUGCAAAGAUAUUUUAAAGGAAUUCGGCAAAAAAUUCUUUACCUGUUUAUUAAAAACAUGGCUUUUUGAAAAUUAUUUAAGGUCUGGCCUGCCCACUGAAUCUUAAAGGGCCGCGGUAUCUU
rnacentral:rRNA from 1 species